rnacentral:tRNA from 1 species
CUAAUGUAGCAAAAUAGUAAAUGCAUGAGACCUAAAUCCUCUUAUUAGGGGCCCAAAUCCCCUCUUUAGC